AUUGAACGCUGGCGGCAGGCCUAACACAUGCAAGUCGAACGGUAACAGGAAGCAGCUUGCUGCUUUGCUGACGAGUGGCGGACGGGUGAGUAAUGUCUGGGAAACUGCCUGAUGGAGGGGGAUAACUACUGGAAACGGUAGCUAAUACCGCAUAACGUCGCAAGACCAAAGAGGGGGACCUUCGGGCCUCUUGCCAUCGGAUGUGCCCAGAUGGGAUUAGCUAGUAGGUGGGGUAACGGCUCACCUCGGCGCCGAUCGCUAGCUGGUCUGAGAGGAGGACGAGCGACAUGGGAAGUGAGCGGCGACCAAGAGUCCGACGGGAGGAACAAGCGGGGACGGGGGGAAAAAGGGGGGAAGCUUGAGGCAGCGGUGCGGGGCGGAUGAAGAAGGCCUGCGGGUUGUAAAGUAGUCUCAGGGGGGAGGAAGGGAGUAAAGUUAAAACAAGUGCUCAUUGACGGUAGCGGGAAAAGAAGCACCGGCUAACUCCGUG
rnacentral:rRNA from 1 species